rnacentral:rRNA from 1 species
ACCAAGGCGAUGAUGCAUAGCCCGAGUUGAGAGACUGAUCGGGCCACAUUGGGGACUGAGACACGGGCCCAAAACUCCGUACGGGGAGGCAGCAGUAGGGAAUCUUCCACAAUGGACGCAAGUCUGAUGGAGCAACGCCGCGUGAGUGAAGUAAGGGUUUCGGCUACGUAAAGCUCUGUUGUUGGUGAAGAAGGACGAGGGGUAGUAACUGUACCUUUGUUUGACGGUAAUCAAUUAGAAGUCACGGCUAACUACGUGCCAGCAGCCGCGGUAAU